rnacentral:sRNA from 1 species
UCCUAGCCCUGAUGGAAGUGCAAAUCCUUUUAAACUAUUGUUGUACAAUAGUUUAAAAGAUUGAAACGUACAGCAGGAAUAAGG